CAAAUCUAUAAAUAUAACAGUAUUAAACAUAUAUAUAUAUAUAUAAAUAUAAUGUUAAUGUCAGAAUAUGUUGGUAAUAUGGUGAUAACUAGUCAGAUUGUAAGUCAGAUGAUAAUAGUAGAUAGAGGCGAUAGGGAGGUUGAAAGAGCCGUGACACGUUUUAAAAUUUUGCUAACCGUCGAUAGAUUAAAUAAUGAAGUUGUAAACGUUUUUUGCCUUUUCGAUGUUGUUGUACUAUCAUGGUUAUAAAUAACUUUAUUUAUAACAAAAAUUAUCAAAUAACAAAUAUAAGUGUUUUGAAGUUUGACUACUUAAGUUUAAGAUAUAAGAACAAAAAUACAAAAUUUCAACGAGUAAUAGUUUAAAUAAAAGGAAAGGUGGAGAGCAAAAAUUGCGAGACAAAAAAACAACACAACUCAAAUAUAUAGGAAAUGAUUCUAAACAGAGUAAAAUAAAUUUUUUUAUUUAAUCAACUGCUUUAUCAAACGAUGAUGACGUAAUGCCAACUAAACAAAAUGUUAAAGGAUCAUUUUUGCCAUUGCCUGAAAAGAAAGUUCCCUAUUAUUAUUCCUUGUAUUCCCUAUAAAGAAAGAAAGUGCAUUGGUUAAUAAUUUAGAAUCAGAAUGUAUAACUUUGAACCAUACAAUUGUUAAAAAUACAGUUUUGUAAAUAAUGGAAAUAAUUACAAAAAAUGGAAAGAAAUCAAAGCACCAUUGGAUCGCCAUCAAAGAAUUAAUAGACAUGUUAUUUCUAUGCAACGUUGGAUAGACUAUAAAUUAGUUCAGAAAAAAAUUGACUUUAUAUAACACAACAAUUAUAUUCUGCAAGACAACUUAGAAUAAAUGAAAACCAUUCACAUGUACAUUUCUUACUCAAAGCAACUCUGUUUUUGGCAAAAUAAGGAUUACUUUUUAGAGGUCACAAAGAGCAAUUUUAUUGAACUUAUACAAAUGUUUGGCGAUGAUAGACUAAAUUAUAAACUACAGUCUAUGUAUGAUAUUAUACUAGUCCUGAAUAUCAAAAUUAUUUAAUUGUAACUAUUGCAAAAUGCACAAGACAACAAAUAUUAAGGAACAUUAAUAAAUUUUGAAUUUAUACAAUUAUCAUUGAUGAGACAAAAGAUAAAUCUAAGGAAGAACAAAUGAGUUUUGUUAUAAGGUUUCUGGAUGACAAUUUUAAUAUACAUCAAAAAUCCAUUGGCUGUUAACAUAUGGUUAAAUCUGAUUCUGAAAGCUUAUUUAAUCAAAUAAUUAAAGUAAUUUCAGAAAAUAAUUUAGAUAUAAACAAAUAUGUAGCACAAUGUUAUGAUGGUGCAUCAGUUAUGAGCGGAAUGUACAGGGUCUAGUCUCCUCAAGUGUUAAGAACCCCUGAAUAUUAUUUUAUAAUUGUGUGGAGUAUAUAAUACAUGGUCGUCCGACUGUCGUCGAACACAGGAAUGUGCUGACCAAGGGUUUUAGGGCAACCAUGGGCAAAGGACUCCCACUGUAGGUACCCUACAGUCAGUCGUGGUUUAGUAUGCGCUAGUUACACUCAUUCUAUAUCAUUCUAAAUCAUUCUAUAUCAUUCUAAAUCAUUCUAUAUCAUUCUAUAUCAUUAUAUUUUAUUAUUCUAUUCAUUUGUAUUAAUAUUAAUAAAUAACGUGUAUUG